rnacentral:rRNA from 1 species
CGGUACCUAACCAGAAAGCCACGGCUAACUACGUGCCAGCAGCCGCGGUAAUACGUAGGUGGCAAGCGUUGUCCGGAAUUAUUGGGCGUAAAGGGCUCGCAGGCGGUUUCUUAAGUCUGAUGUGAAAGCCCCCGGCUCAACCGGGGAGGGUCAUUGGAAACUGGGAAACUUGAGUGCAGAAGAGGAGAGUGGAAUUCCACGUGUAGCGGUGAAAUGCGUAGAGAUGUGGAGGAACACCAGUGGCGAAGGCGACUCUCUGGUCUGUAACUGACGCUGAGGAGCGAAAGCGUGGGGAGCGAACAGGAUUAGAUACCCUGGUAGUCCACGCCGUAAACGAUGAGUGCUAAGUGUUAGGGGGUUUCCGCCCCUUAGUGCUGCAGCUAACGCAUUAAGCACUCCGCCUGGGGAGUACGGUCGCAAGACUGAAACUCAAAGGAAUUGACGGGGGCCCGCACAAGCGGUGGAGCAUGUGGUUUAAUUCGAAGCAACGCGAAGAACCUUACCAGGUCUUGACAUCCUCUGACAACCCUAGAGAUAGGGCUUUCCCUUCGGGGACAGAGUGACAGGUGG